CCCUUAGAUGUUCUGGGCCGCACGCGCGCUACACUGACGAGGGCAACGAGUUUUUCCUUCGCCGAAAGGUGUGGGUAAUCUUUUGAAACAUCGUCGUGCUGGGGAUAGAUCAUUGCAAUUUUUGAUCUUGAACGAGGAAUUCCUAGUAAGCGCGAGUCAUCAGCUCGCGUUGAUUACGUCCCUGCCCUUUGUACACACCGCCCGUCGCUACUACCGAUUGAAUGGUUUAGUGAGGACUCCUGAUUGGCGCCGCCGCCCCGGCAACGGAGCAGCGGACUGCCGAAAAGUUGUUCAAACUUGAUCAUUUAGAGGAAGUAAAAGUCGUAACA
rnacentral:rRNA from 1 species